AGAGACAGCAGUCGCCGCGGGAAUACGAAGGGGGCUAGCGUUGCUCGGAAUCACUGGGCGUAAAGGGUGCGUAGGCGGGUCUUUAAGUCAGAGGUGAAAUCCUGGAGCUCAACUCCAGAACUGCCUUUGAUACUGAGGAUCUUGAGUUCGGGAGAGGUGAGUGGAACUGCGAGUGUAGAGGUGAAAUUCGUAGAUAUCCGCAAGAACACCAGUGGCGAAGGCGGCUCACUGGCCCGAUACUGACGCUGAGGCACGAAAGCGUGGGGAGCAAACAGGAUUAGAGACCCCCGUAGUCCUGUCUCUUAUACA
rnacentral:rRNA from 1 species